GCUGGGUGUGGUGGCUCACGCCUGUAAUCCCAGCACUUUGGGAGGCCGAGAUGGGCGGAUCACCUGAGGUCGGGAGUUCGAGACCAGCCUGACCAACAUGGAGAAACCCCAUCUCUA
rnacentral:SRP_RNA from 2 species